UACGGGGGGGGCAAGCGUUGUUCGGAAUUACUGGGCGUAAAGGGCUCGUAGGCGGCCAACUAAGUCAGACGUGAAAUCCCUCGGCUUAACCGGGGAACUGCGUCUGAUACUGGAUGGCUUGAGUUUGGGAGAGGGAUGCGGAAUUCCAGGUGUAGCGGUGAAAUGCGUAGAUAUCUGGAGGAACACCGGUGGCGAAGGCGGCAUCCUGGACCAAUACUGACGCUGAGGAGCGAAAGCCAGGGGAGCAAAACGGGG
rnacentral:rRNA from 1 species